rnacentral:rRNA from 1 species
AAUUUUGGCCAAUGGGGGAAACCUGAAUCCACCCAUCCCGCUGGUAGGAUGAGGGCCUCCGGGUGGUAAGGUACUUUUGGCGGAGAAGAAAAGGUAUCCCCUAAUACGAGACACUGCGGCCGGUACCGGCACAAUACGCACCGCUCACCUACUUGCCAGCAGCCGCGGUAAUAGGUAGGGUGAAAGCGUUAAUCGGAAUGAUUGGGCGUAAGGCGUGUGUAGGCGGUUCGGAAAGAAAGAUGUGAAAUCCCAGGGCUCAACCUUGGAACUGCAUUUUUAACUGCCGAGCUGGAGUAGGUCAGAGGGGGGUAGAAUUCCACGUGUAGCAGUGAAAUGCGUAGAUAUGUGGAGGAAUACCGAUGGCGAAGGCAGCCCCCUGGGAUAAUACUGACGCUCAGACACGAAAGCGUGGGGAGCAAACA